CCUACGGGUGACAGCAGUGGGGAAUAUUGCACAAUGGGGGAAACCCUGAUGCAGCGACGCCGCGUGAGUGAAGAAGUAUUUCGGUAUGUAAAGCUCUAUCAGCAGGGAAGAAAAAAGACGGUACUUGACUAAGAAGCCUCGGCUAACUACGUGCCAGCAGCCGCGGUAAUAUGUAGGGGGCAAGCGUUAUCCGGAUUUACUGGGUGUAAAGGGAGCGUAGACGGUAUGGCAAGUCUGAAGUGAAAGCCCAGGGCUUAACCCUGGGACUGCUUUGGAAACUGUUAGACUAGAGUGCUGGAGAGGUAAGUGGAAUUCCUAGUGUAGCGGUGAAAUGCGUAGAUAUUAGGAGGAACACCAGUGGCGAAGGCGGCUUACUGGACAGUAACUGACGUUGAGGCUCGAAAGCGUGGGGAGCAAACAGGAUUAGAUACCCCAGUAGUC
rnacentral:rRNA from 1 species